rnacentral:rRNA from 1 species
ACGAACGCUGGCGGCGUGCCUAAUACAUGCAAGUAGAACGCACAGUUUAUACCGUAGCUUGCUACACCAUAGACUGUGAGUUGCGAACGGGUGAGUAACGCGUAGGUAACCUGCCUGGUAGCGGGGGAUAACUAUUGGAAACGAUAGCUAAUACCGCAUAAUAUUAAUUAUUGCAUGAUAAUUAAUUGAAAGGUGCAAUUGCACCACUACCAGAUGGACCUGCGUUGUAUUAGCUAGUAGGUGAGGUAACGGCUCACCUAGGCGACGAUACAUAGCCGACCUGAGAGGGUGAUCGGCCACACUGGGACUGAGACACGGCCCAGACUCCUACGGGAGGCAGCAGUAGGGAAUCUUCGGCAAUGGACGAAAGUCUGACCGAGCAACGCCGCGUGAGUGAAGAAGGGUUUCGGAUCGUAAAGCUCUGUUGUAAGAGAAGAACGGGUGUGAGAGUGGAAAGUUCACACUGUGACGGUAUCUUACCAGAAAGGGACGGCUAACUACGUG